rnacentral:rRNA from 1 species
AGAACGAACGCUGGCGGCAUGCCUAACACAUGCAAGUCGAACGCGUGUAGCGAUACACGAGUGGCGGACGGGUGAGUAACGCGUGGGAACCUGCCCUGGAGUGUGGGAUAACCGAGGGAAACUUCGGCUAAUACCGCAUACGACCUGAGGGUGAAAGAUUUAUCGCUCUAGGAGGGGCCCGCGUCGGAUUAGCUAGUUGGUGGGGUAAAGGCCUACCAAGGCAGUGAUCCGUAGCUGGUCUGAGAGGAUGAUCAGCCACACUGGGACUGAGACACGGCCCAGACUCCUACGGGAGGCAGCAGUGGGAAUAUUGGACAAUGGGGGCAACCCUGAUCCAGCAAUGCCGCGUGAGUGAUGAAGGCCUUAGGGUUGUAAAGCUCUUUCGCGCGCGACGAUGAUGACGGUAGCGCGAGAAGAGCCCGGCUAACUCGUGCCAGCAGCCGC